GACGAACGCUGGCGGCGUGCUUAACACAUGCAAGUCGAACGAAGAGCGAUGGAAGCUUGCUUCUCUCAAUCUUAGUGGCGAACGGGUGAGUAACGCGUAAUCAACCUGCCCUUCAGAGGGGGACAACAGUUGGAAACGACUGCUAAUACCGCAUACGAUCUAAUCUCGGCAUCGAGGAUAGAUGAAAGGUGGCCUCUACAUGUAAGCUAUCACUGAAGGAGGGGAUUGCGUCUGAUUAGCUAGUUGGAGGGGUAACGGCCCACCAAGGCGAUGAUCAGUAGCCGGUCGGAGAGGAUGAACGGCCACAUUGGGACUGAGACACGGCCCAGACUCCUACGGGAGGCAGCAGUGGGGAAUCUUCCGCAAUGGACGAAAGUCUGACGGAGCAACGCCGCGUGAGUGAUGACGGCCUUCGGGUUGGAAAGCUCUGUUAAUCGGGACGAAAGGCCUUCUUGCGAAUAGUGAGAAGGAUUGACGGUACCGGAAGAGAAAGCCACGGCUAACUACGUG
rnacentral:rRNA from 1 species